CUGCAACCGUCCUCUAUUCAUAGUAAUCUUUGAUCGAAACUCGAGUCUUGGGCAUCAUUGACGUUCGGUUCUCUGUCAUUCUCUUCGACGUUCUCUACGUGUGGACAGGGGGAUAGAAUUUUCUAGGUUACUUCGUACUUGUGUGCUCUUUGAUUUCCAGCAAGCCUCAUCGUUCAAUUAUUGGUUGAAGCAUCUUCAGUUUCUCACUUCUCGUCAUAGUCAUCUCUCUCACUUCGUCGUCG
rnacentral:lncRNA from 1 species